rnacentral:rRNA from 1 species
UACGUAGGGAGCAAGCGUUGUCCGGAAUCAUUGGGCGUAAAGGGCGCGUAGGCGGCGGCUUGAGUCCCUGCGUGAAAUCUCCCGGCUCAACCGGGAGGGUGCGCGGGAUACUGGGCGGCUUGAGGACAUCAGAGGAGAGCGGAAUCCCCGGUGUAGUGGUGAAAUGCGUAGAUAUCGGGGGGAACACCAGUGGCGAAGGCGGCUCUCUGGGGUGCACCUGACGCUGAUGCGCGAAAGCGUGGGGAGCGAACCGGG